rnacentral:rRNA from 1 species
AAAAUAACAAUGAUUUCCUUAGUAACGGCGAGUGAACAGGAAAAAGCUCAAAGUUGGAACCUGUUUGGCCUAGCUAAACCGGAUUGUAAACUGUAGAAGUGUUUUCCAGGCAAGCCGGACCGAUAAGUCCUUUGGAACAGGGCAUCAUAGAGGGUGAGAAUCCCGUCUUCGGUCUGAGCAUUUGCCUUUUGCGAUACACUUUCAAAGAGUCAGGUUGUUUGGGAAUGCAGCCUAAAUUGGGUGGUAAAUCUCACCUAAAGCUAAAUAUUGGCGAGAAACCGAUAGCGAACAAGUACCGUGAGGGAAAGAUGAAAAGAACUUUGAAAAGAGAGUUAAACAGUAUGUGAAAUUGUUAAAAGGGAACCGUUUGGAGCCAGACUGGCUUGUCUGUAAUCAGUCUAAGCUUCGGCUUGGAUGCACUUGCAGGCUAUGCCUGCCAACGACAAUUUGGCUUGAGGGAAAAAACUAAGGGAAAUGUGGCCCAUCCGCGGGUGUUAUAGUCCCUUAGAAAAUACCUUGGGCUGGAUUGAGGUACGCAGCGAAUGCUAUUUGGCGAGUUGGCUGGGAAUAUUUUCUGAGGUGCUUUGGUACUGAGGUUGAUAUUCCUAGUUACACUUCUAUUCGCUUAGGUUGUUGGCUUAAUGACUCUAAAUGAC